ACAGCAGUAGCCGCGGUAAUACGAAGGGUGCAAGCGUUAAUCGGAAUUACUGGGCGUAAAGCGUGCGUAGGCGGUGAGUUAAGUCUGCUGUGAAAUCCCCGGGCUCAACCUGGGAAUGGCAGUGGAUACUGGCUCGCUAGAGUGUGUCAGAGGAUGGUGGAAUUCCCGGUGUAGCGGUGAAAUGCGUAGAGAUCGGGAGGAACAUCAGUGGCGAAGGCGGCUCACUGGCUCGAUACUGACGCUGAGGUGCGAAAGCGUGGGGAGCAAACAGGAUUAGAUACCCGCGUAGUCCCUGUCUCUUAUAC
rnacentral:rRNA from 1 species